rnacentral:lncRNA from 1 species
AUUCUCGUUACUUUAGUUUACUCAUCCCCCCAAACUUAGCUUUCCCCCAGAACUUUAUAUCCACUCUCCAUAAAAGCUUCUGUAGCACCAGCUUGGUCAGUCCCAAGGUCCCAGGUGCCACUGGGGUCUGGUUGACAAAAUUGUUGGUAUGGUUUGGCUGUUUCUCCACCCAAAUCUCAUCUGUAAUUGUAAUCCUCAUAAUCCCCGUCCCCAGGUUGAGGGAGGGACUCGGUGGGAGGUGACUGGAUCAUGGGGGCAGUUUCCCCCAUGCUGUUCUUGUGAGAGUUCUCAUGAGAUCUGAUGGCUUUAUGAGGGGCUCUUCCCCCUUUGCGUCCUACACAAACCCUGUCUCGCCUGCUGCCACGUAAAACGUGCCUGCUUCACUUUCUGCCAUGAUUUUAAGUUUCCUGAGGCCUCCCCAGCCACGCAGAACUGUCAAACAAGAUCCUUUAUAAAUUACCCAGUCUUGGGGGGGUUUUAUACAGCAGUAUGAAAGCAGCCUAAACAGUUGUUUUCAUACGUGCUGGAAAUGCUGUGAUCUGCCCUGCCAUUGUCCCCAUCCUGGACUGACCCUCAGUAUUUUUCCUUUGAGUGGUGACCCAGCUCUUUGCCUUGAGCAGCAGGAGUAGCCCUUGGUAGAAUCUAGUUCCCCAGGGGAAAUCAAAGCAGCUUUAUCUUCUCACUGUUAGCCAAGCACCUCUGGAGACAGCCUUAGUGUUUGCUCUUUUAUCCCCUCUCACCUGGGAAUACAAUUGCCCCUGCAACAUAAUGGCCCUACUGUUCCCUCACCAACUCCCCCAGCAUGGGGAUCAGAAAUAUGGCAGUACUCCUCAGUGAAGUAUAUGCUGCUUUGUUUUAAGCACUCACCUGAAUGUGUAAGGACAUCUUUCCUCAAGAGCUUCUCACUUCCUGAGGAGUCUGUAGUCUUCAUUCAAAUGUCUUGAUGGCUCAUUUUCCAGAAAUCUCUGUAGGUCUUGAGAAGCAUUGUCCUAGCUUUGGUUUAUCUGAAUAGUCCUAUUUAAACUUGUCCCACACAGAUAGCAGCCUCUUGCUUGCCCUUCUGUUUGUACACUUGUCUAUUUUCUCUUUCUUUAAAUGCCUUUUGGGUGUUAAUACUUCAUUGGUGGUUCCAUAGCCUUGUCCCCCUCUCUUUUGCAACUUGAAGGCAAUUCUCAGUUCUCUUCUUGAGCACAUUCAUACUUAGCAGCUUCUGAAUAUCCCACCCACAAUUAAGGUACAAUCUGGUCACAUAACUUUUUCCCUAGGAAGAAAUGUGCUACUCAAGACUAAUAGCCAAGGUUAAGAACGUGCAUACUCCUGAAUCGGAUGUAAAUGCAUUAGUCUAUUUGUUCUGUUUAGAAAUAAAGAUGGAACAUAUUUUAUAGCUACUGUUAGUGCCCAUGUGCCUUCUAAAUAUCUUUUGAAUAGUUUUACUUCUCUCCAUCUUGACAGCUACCAUGCCAAUCCAAGCUUCCAUCACCUUGCUCCUGGCUUACUGCAGUAUCCUCCUGUCUACCCUUCAUCCACUUUUAUCUCUUUCCAAUCACUUGUUCAUACAACAGCCAUAUUGGGUUUUUUUCAAAACACACAUAUAAUCAGGGCACUUCUCAACUUAAAACCAUUUCUGGCAUUACUUGCCCUUAGGAUAAUGACAAAACUUUUUAACACAGUCCACAAGGCCAGAGAUAGCCUGACCCUUGCUGAUCUGUCCAGCCUCUGCUAUAUGUCCCCUUAUUUUCUCUGUUCCAACCACAUUGGACUUUGUUCCUCUUACUAGUCAUGCUCCCCACCUAUUUGGUUCCCUAGUUAACUUCUCUUCAUCCUUCGAUUUCAACUUGUGUCACUUCCUCCAGAAAGCCUACCCUUUCUUUCUUAACCAGGCCGAUAGGCUGUCAAAACCAGGAAUCUCUUCUUCGUAGCACUACAGUCAUACUCAUUGAUACGUGUGAUUAUUAAUGUGGGUUUUUUAAAAAAUUAGAAUGAAACUCAAGAGCAGGGACCACAUCUAUUACUUGUGAUUAAUAUAUUCCUAGUGGUUAGCACAGUGUCUAGACAAAUAUAUGUUGAAUGAAUAAAUAGAAAAGGGAGAGGAAAAAGGGAAGGAUUGACCCUCUGUGAGGCAGUCUUGCAAACAGCAGAAAUGCAAAGCAAAGCUGAAGAACUAACUAUUCAACACACACCUAGAGGAGCGUUGUAAUGUCUUGUGCCUGUCUCAAAUGGGUGCAUUCUUAUGGGUAAGUUUUACUAGUCCAGCUUUCACUGUAAUAGUUCACAUUCCUCUCCUAGUGUCAGUCUCCAACAAAUCCCUCAGUAAUUCGUAAUCAGUAAUCUCAUGCCAAGGAUGAGAGAGGGGCAUUAUCCAAAAAGUUGGGUGUGUCCAUUUUUUUUUGAGUCUUGCUCUGUUGCCCAGGCUGGAGUCCAGUGGCAUGGUCUUGGCUUACUGCAACCUCCGCCUCCCAGGUUCAAGUAAUUCUGCCUCAGCCUCCUGAGUAGCUGGGAUUACAGGCGCCUGCUACCUCGCCCGGCUUUUUUGUUGUUGUUAUUUUUAGUAGAGACGGUGUUUCACCAUGUUGGUCAGGCUGGUCAUGAACUCGUGACCUUGUGAUCCGCCCGCCUUGGCCUUCCAAAGUGCUGGGAUUACAGGCGUGAGCCACUGUGCCCGGCUGUUCAUCUGUUUUUCAAUACCUUUAAGUUCAGUUUCCCUUACAAAGCCCACUUUUUUCUUAGUGGGAAUCUCUUGUACCACUUAACACCUACAUUCCUUAAUUUUUAAAGUUAAAACACUUAUAUACUAUAAAAUGGACACAUCUUAAGCAUACAGCUUGAUGAAGAUUUACAAAGUAAACAUGCCAGUUGAAACACCACUCUGAUCAGGAUGUGGAACAUAACCAGCACUCCAGAAAUCUCUCUGCCAUCAUUACCACCACUGGUUAUCCUAGCCACUCUUCUGACUUGUAUCACCAUAGAUAGGUUUUACUUGUUUUGAAGCCAUCUAUAAAUGGAAUCAUGGAAGUUUGGGCUUCCCUGAGAGCAGAUCUUCAGAGAAAAAAAACUUGAGUGCAGUAGUUUAUUUGGCGUUUGGCUCCAGGAUGCAGGAGUGGGAAAGAUGGUAGAGAGACAGAAGAAAAAUCAAUAGAAAGGUAUUACGGAGGUUGGAUAUAUAAUGCUUCCCAGAAUUGUCUGACUGAACAGGAGGCUGAAAUAUUUAUCCGCUGGCUCCUGUUUCCAAUUGAUUGAGGGAUGCCCCCAAGGAAGUUAACUUCACUGCAAUUCUGAGCUGUAAUUGACUUUAAUAAGCUCCAACAGCACUGAAAGACGUUUGGAUUAUUUUCAGUUUGGGAUAAUACUACUAUGAACAUUCCUGUACAUGUCUUUUGAGAACACGCAUGUGUACAUUUGUGAUGGGUAUGUAAUGGGGUGGAAUUACUGGUUCAUAGAAUAUGUGCAUAUUCACCUUUAGAUAUAGAGGCUGCCAACCAUUUUUCUGAAGUGAUUAUACUAAUUUAUAUUCUCACUAUCUGUAAAUGAACAUUUCUGUUGCUCCACAUCCUUGCUGGCACUUGGUAUUGAUUGAUUUCUCUUUUAAUUUUAGGCUUUUUAAUACGUGUGUAGUGAUAUCUCACUUGCUGUUUGUUUGCUUUUUGGUAAAUUUUUUAUUGAAGUAUAAUUUACAUACAGAAAAUCACACAAAUUGUGUACAGGUGUGAUUUUUCACACCGUGAAUACAUGCAAAAACUAGUAUGAAAUUAAGAGUUGGAACAUCACCAGUACUCCAGAAGCCCCAUGCAUGUUCUCUUCCAGUUACUAUACCACUAUCCCAAGGAUGGUCUAUUAAUUCAACAGCAUAGAUUUAUUUUGCCUGUUUUUCAACUUCAAAUAAAUGAAAUAAUAUGCACUCUUGUGUCUGGCUUCUUUGACUCAACAGUAUGUCUAUACAACUCAUCUGUAUUGUUGCAUGUUGUAGUUCGUUCAUUCAUACUGUUGUAUACAGUAUUGAAUUGUAUAAAUUACUCAUUCUGUUACUAUGCAUUUGGGCUGUUUCCAGUUUUGGCUAUUAUGAAUAAAGCUGCUAUGAACAUUCUAGAAUUGUCUUGUUGAACAUAUGUAUUUCUGCUGGGUAUAAAGCUUAAAAAGGAAAUUACUGGAAAAUAAGAGUAUUGCCUCAUGUUACCUACCUGCUAUUUUCACUGUAAUUUCAUCUAUUCUGGUUGAUGUGUAAUAGUGUCAUAUUAGCAUUUUUUCUUUGCUUUUAUAAAAUAAAUGUUUUUAUGUUGG